AUAAUGAGACUUCCGUCUGGGCAAAGGCCCAUGCGGCUCGGUGAGAACCACGGAGGGGUGAAAGGCCCAUGG
rnacentral:ncRNA from 1 species